rnacentral:rRNA from 1 species
UACGAGGUGGACAAACGUUAUUCGGAUUUACUGGGCUUAAAGCGUGCGUAGGCGGCUCAGAAAGUUGGGUGUGAAAGCCCUCGGCUCAACCGAGGAAUUGCGCUCAAAACCUACUGAGCUUGAGUGAGAUAGGGGAGAGCGGAACUGAUGGUGGGAGCGGUGAAAAUGCGUUGAUAUCAAUCAGGAACACCGGUGGCGAAGGCGGCU